GAUGAACGCUGGCGGCGUGCCUAAUACAUGCAAGUCGAACGAGGUGCUUUUGUAGCAAUACGAGAGUAUCCUAGUGGCGAACGGGUGAGUAACGCGUUGGUGACCUACCCCAAAGUGUGGGAUAACAGUCCGAAAGGACUGCUAAUACCGCAUGUGGUCAUUGGCUUUAGAAACCGGUGACUAAAGGAGCAAUUCGCUUUGGGAGGGACCUGCGUCCCAUCAGCUAGUUUGUGAGGUAAUGGCUCACCAAGGCGACGACGGGUAGGGGACCUGAGAGGGUGACCCCACACAAUGGAGAUGAAACACGGUCCAUACACCUACGGGUGGCAGCAGUAGGGAAUAUUGCUCAAUGGGCGAAAGCCUGAAGCAGCAACGCCGCGUGUGUGAUGAAGGCCUUCGGGUCGUAAAGCACUUUUCUGGGAGAUGAGAAAGGACAGUAUCUCAGGAAUAAGUCUCGGCUAACUACGUGCCAGCAGCCGCGGUAACAC
rnacentral:rRNA from 1 species